CCAUUCCUCCUCUCCUCCUGUUCUCCCCCUCUCUCUUCCACUGAUCGGUCUCCACCCCCCCUCCUCUGUUCCUCACCCGUCCACCCCCUCUCAGGAAGCCCCACCUCAGCCUGUACGAGCCCCUCUACGUGAAGCGCUACCGGAGCCUGGAGCUGGGGAGCUUCGCCACACCCCACCAGGGGAAGGGGGACUACUGGAUGAGCCCCCAGAGGUACCAGCCCGUGGGCACCACCUGGAAGAGAAACCACCGUCGCCUGGUGGUGUUCCCUGGGAACACGGGCUUCUCCGACGUGCCGUCCAGCCUGAACGCCGGCUACUGCUGCCUCCACUCCACCCUGGUGUGGAGAUAUCGCUGGCAGAAGCUGAAAGAGAGGGUGCCACACUUGUUAAGAAGGAGAGAUAUCUUCCUGUGCGUUUAAUCCAGCGUGAAUAGAGAGCCUCGACGUCCAUGUGUACUGUUGGGCUGUAGGAAGUGCAUGUCCGUACUUCAUACAGGAGAAAAAAACGAGUUUGAAACAGAAGAUAAGUGAUGUAAUUUGUGAGGGAACAAGAUGGUAAUAGCCACUCUUUGGCCAAGGUAAUCCUGCAGUGUCAACAGUUCAAGAAAGACCCCUGGAAUGUUAAUAAGGUAAAAGGUGAAGAGGGGUUCAAUGGCCCACAGAUGUGAGCUCACAGGGCUGGCAUCUACACAGGAAAUGACUUGUAGGACUUCCGCCUCAAAAAAGUGUGAGGUGCUGUCAACUUCAUGAAAAGAGACUUUGGAUAAACUGGGCUAGCAUAGGUGUGAAUGUCAAUAAAAAGCACUG